rnacentral:rRNA from 1 species
CGCCCUUAGAGUUUGAUCAUGGCUCAGAUUGAACGCUGGCGGCAUGCUUUACACAUGCAAGUCGGACGGCAGAGAAGCUUGCUUCUUGCGAGUGGCGAACGGGUGAGUAAUAUAUCGGAACGUACCGAGUAAUGGGGGAUAACUAAUCGAAAGAUUAGCUAAUACCGCAUAUUCUCUGAGGAGGAAAGCAGUUCGUUGCGUUAUUCGAGCGGCCGAUAUCUGAUUAGCUAGUUGGUGGGGUAAAGGCCUACCAAGGCGACGAUCAGUAGCGGGUCUGAGAGGAUGAUCCGCCACACUGGGACUGAGACACGGCCCAGACUCCUACGGGAGGCAGCAGUGGGGAAUUUUGGACAAUGGGCGCAAGCCUGAUCCAGCCAUGCCGCGUGUCUGAAGAAGGCCUUCGGGUUGUAAAGGACUUUUGUCAGGGAAGAAAAGGCUGUUGUAAUCGACAGCUAUGACGGUACCUGAAGAAUAAGCACCGGCUAACUACGUGCCAGCAGCCGCGGUAAUACGUAGGGUGCGAGCGUUAAUCGGAAUUACUGGGCGUAAAGCGAGCGCAGACGGUUACUUAAGCAGGAUGUGAAAUCCCCGGGCUCAACCUGGGAACUGCGUUCUGAACUGGGUGACUAGAGUGUGUCAGAGGGAGGUAGAAUUCCACGUGUAGCAGUGAAAUGCGUAGAGAUGUGAGGAUACCGAU